UUCAUUUUGAAAAUGAAAAAGCAUUUCUGGUUUUGACUUUGAUUUUUAUUUAUGCUACAGAAUCGCUUCCAUAUGAUAUGACUGCCAUCAAACCGCCAAAAAUAUUUUCGCAUCGCCAAAAAUAUUUUCCCAUGCAUUGUGUCGCAUCUCUCUUUUUUACAAUCUUUGAUUUUGCUGACUACUCUGGACGCCAAUCACAGAAGAGAAGGUCCACGCUGAUUGGUCUAAAUUCUAUCCAAUCAGGUGCUUCGCACUUAAUUCGUCUCUAGGUAGACACAGACUACAUGUUAAAUUGUGGGACAGGAACGAACGGUAAGUAUCGUUUAAAGUAACACUUUAUGAUAAAUCAUUAUUACUUUCUUACUUUACUUUAAAAUAAUACUUAAAAAAAAGUUUUGUCAAGCUAGCUAUGAACUAUUGUCAUUAGAUUUUUGGGGGUGAUUUUCAGAAGAAAAAAAAAAAAAACGCGGAAAAUCAUGGGAGAUCAUCAUCAUGAACAUCAUUCCAACAGCGAAAACACAGUGACACAACCAUCUACUUGUCAGGGUGUCGCUGGAGUGGAAUCAGCAGCAAGACAUCUCAUUACCGUGUUGCUUAACACAAUGGCUACAAAUGGAUCACCAAGGCCAGAAAGGAGACAGCCAGAGCCCCAAACUGUCUCUAUCCAGCAAGAGAUGACAAGAUCUUUUCCAGGCUACUUUAAACCAGCACUUGCUCAUGGAAAAAAGAGAUGUUUGACACCUAAAGUUUACAUAAAUAAAACCGGCAAGACUUUAUCAUUUCGUUUUUAUUUACUCGCCAAAAACAUCUCCUACACACUGUUACCAACAGAGGAACUUGAACUCCUUCAAAGACAAACUGUGUGUCUCCCAGAGGACUCUAAUCACUCGGAGAUUUCAAAGUUACUGGUUGAAGCAUUCCCAAAAAUGGCAGAUCUUUGUGGAGGAUGGCUUUUGCAUAAAUCAGCAGGGGGCAAUGGUCUACGAAAGCUCAUUUUAAUUCCACCCGAAGCAGAAGGAUAUACUGCCAAAGCCCUCAAAGCUCAAUCAGGUGGUGGAAAAACCACUUUAUACAUCAUUCCUCUUCAAGAAACUUUAGACACUUCUCCUUUGCCUCUUGACUCACAACAUUUUUCAAAGAUGCCAAAGACAACUUGUUACCAGUGUAAUGAAGUGAUGCCUCUCCAGAUGCUUGCAGUGCACAUUCAAACAUGCAUUGGCAAAUCUGUUUCAGAUGAGACGGAUGAGGAUGAGGAUUCUGACUUGUGCAUUGUAGAGAACGAAUGUAAGGUGGUGUGUCCAAUUUGCUCCAAGAACUUUUCUGAGCAAGACAUUGCAGUGCAUGCUGGUCUGUGUGGAGAGAGAUGAGAUUUGUCUUUCCCCUUCAUGCAUGUAGAACAGAAGAUGUGUUGCAUCACCUUGAGCAACAGGUCAACAUGAAUAUGGAAUUCCAACUGUGUGUGGACAGAGAGGGGCUUCCAGACAGAGGCAUUCUGCAAUGGCAAAGAAAAAAAUCUUCAUCUCCUGCUGGUACACUGAAGGUUGUGUACAUUGGGGAGGCAGGAGUGGAUACAGGAGCAGUGAAAAGAGAAUUUUUGACAGAUAUGAUUUCAGGUUGUUAUGGUGCCUGUCAGUCUCCUCCCCCUCCUGCUCUGCUCCUGACUCCACCAGCUGGGACCAAUUCACCUCGUCACUGCUUCUGCUUUUAAGGAGUUCCAGACCCAUUAGCCAAUGCCAGUUUGUUGCCCUUUAUGGAUUCCAGCCUCCAAGUGUUCCCAGUGUGGAUGUCAGUCCGAGUCCUCCUACAGUACGGUGGAAACCUCAAGCUCUGCCAAGCUGCGCUCUUACCUCCAGCCACGCCACAGGCCGCUGUCCUCUCCAGCUGCCCUCCAAGCCACACCAACUUUCCUGGAAGGAAAAAAAUAAAGCUCUUUACUUACCGUUCACCUCCUUGUCCUCAUUCUGGGUUUCAGCGUCUGGGUCUGUCAAUCCUUCAAGUCAUGACACAGGUAUUGAGAACAGGUUCUUUGAAGGAGUUGAAGGCCAGGGUAAAAACCCCAAGUACUCACUGACAGACCUUGACAAUGAAUAUUUCAGGACUGUUGGUGAAAUAAUUGCGGUCAGCCUAGCCCAAGGUGGGCCAGCUCCAGCGUUCCUGAAAGAGUGGUGCUAUGGAUUCAUUUGUACUGGAGACAUGGAUCUCUGCUCUUUGUCAAAGCAAGAUGUGACAGACCAAGAAUCGUCUCUCCUCAUCACCAAAGUAGGAAUCUGGUAGCAUGUCAGAACUUUUACAAUAUUCCCCCUAAGUUUUGAUUAAGAAUUGAACAUUUUCUAUAGUCUCAAAAAUGUUUAUUUAUCAAGAUUUUUAAUAUUUUGGAAAAAAAGUUAAGAAGGGAGUUUGCUAACAGAUCAUUUUAGUCUGACUCACAUGAUCAAAGAUCCAACUAGGAUAAAAACCUGUUCACAAACAAGAAUAUAUCUUUUUUCUUCUUCAAAGUAUGCCAGAAAGAAAAACAUACAUUUUUAACUGGUUUCAAAUCACAAAGCCAUUUUUAUUUCCAAAAAACUUACCAAAAAGCGUUUUAAUAACAAAAACAAUCACUCAAAACAAACAAAUGUUUAUACCAACUCCAUAUAAUCUAAAUUUAGAGGAUGUUGAUUAACAACAGAUUCUAGUUUAGAAAGAAGCCUCUCCAUCAAUAUCUGCCUCAAUGCAGAUAUUGAGCUGCAUGCGGCUCUCUGCCUUUUAUUAUAGUUUUAUUUAUACAGUACUUUCCCAAACAUAAGGUGCAGUGACGUGCGGUCAAUGGCUGGUGAGGAGAUUUACAAUUGCACUGAAUAUUUCACCGUUCAUCCAACAGCAGCUAUAACAGCUUAUGAAAUACACACAAGAAAAUAUUUGUCCUACAUAGAAUUUUUCUUGUAUAGACAUGGAUAUACCACUCUUCUUGUUUAUAAAUUAUUCAUGUGUACUGUAAACAUAUUAAAGUAUUCAGAUGUGUUCAGCAUACAUUUGACCCUCAGUAACUAUUUCUGGUAUUUUUCCAACUUCUAAUUCUGGAGCUUUAAUCAUUUAUCAAAUGUUGUCUGU